GAUGAACGCUAGCUACAGGCUUAACACAUGCAAGUCGAGGGGAAACGACAUCGAAAGCUUGCUUUUGAUGGGCGUCGACCGGCGCACGGGUGAGUAACGCGUAUCCAACCUGCCCAUCACUUGGGGAUAACCUUGCGAAAGUAAGACUAAUACCCAAUGAUAUCUCUAGAAGACAUCUGAAAGAGAUUAAAGAUUUAUCGGUGAUGGAUGGGGAUGCGUCUGAUUAGCUUGUUGGCGGGGUAACGGCCCACCAAGGCAACGAUCAGUAGGGGUUCUGAGAGGAAGGUCCCCCAGAGUGGAAGGGAGAACCGGGACAAACACAAAGGGGAGGAAGCAGGGAGGAAUAUUGGUGAAGGGGAGAGAGCAUGAACCGCCAAAGUAGGGGGCAGAAAGGCGGCCCUGGGGGUUGUAAUCUUUUUUUAAAAGGGAAAAAGGUGGGGUUCGGGACUUUUUUUGUAUGUACCUUAUGAAAAAGAACCGGCUAAUUCCGUG
rnacentral:rRNA from 1 species